rnacentral:rRNA from 1 species
AACGAACGCUGGCGGCAUGCCUAACACAUGCAAGUCGAACGAGACCUUCGGGUCUAGUGGCGCACGGGUGCGUAACGCGUGGAAACCUGCCCUUAGGGUCGGAAUAACUCCCCGAAAGGGGUGCUAAUACCGGAAAAUGUCUUCGGACCAAAGAUUUAUCGCCUUUGGAUGGGGCCGCGUUGGAUUAGCUAGUUGGUAGGGUAAAAGCCUACCAAGCCGACGAUCCAUAGCUGGUCUGAGAGGAUGAUCAGCCACACUGGGACUGAGACACGGCCCAGACGCCUACGGGAGGCAGCAGUGGGGAAUAUUGGACAAUGGGCGAAAGCCUGAUCCAGCAAUGCCGCGUGAGAGAUGAAGGCCUUAGGGUUGUAAAGCUCUUUUACCCGUGAUGAUAAUGACGGUACCGGGAGAAUAAGCGCCGGCUAACUCCGUG